AAACAAAUAGCUUAAAAUUUAAAGCACUACACUGAAGCUGUAAUUAUAGGUUAUACCUUUUGUUUG
rnacentral:tRNA from 1 species